CGGGUGUAGUUUAGUGGUAGAACCCCAGCCUUCCAAGCUGGUUGCGUCAGUUCGAUUCUGUCCACCCG
rnacentral:tRNA from 1 species